UGUCUCAGUUCAUCAG
rnacentral:miRNA from 1 species